rnacentral:rRNA from 1 species
UACGGAGGGUGCGAGCGUUAUUCGGAAUUACUGGGCGUAAAGCGCACGCAGGCGGCUAUUUAAGUCAGAUGUGAAAGCCCCGGGCUUAACCUGGGAACUGCAUUUGAAACUGGAUAGCUAGAGUAUGUUAGAGGAAGGCGGAAUUUCCAGUGUAGCAGUGAAAUGCGUAGAUAUUGGAAGGAACACCGAUGGCGAAGGCAGCCUUCUGGGGCAAUACUGACGCUCAUGUGCGAAAGCGUAGGUAGCAAAC